rnacentral:rRNA from 1 species
UGGGGAAUUUUGGACAAUGGGGGAAACCCUGAUCCAGCCAUCCCGCGUGUGCGAUGAAGGCCUUCGGGUUGUAAAGCACUUUUGGCAGGAAAGAAACGUCGCGGGUUAAUACCCCGCGAAACUGACGGUACCUGCAGAAUAAGCACCGGCUAACUACGUGCCAGCAGCCGCGGUAAUACGUAGGGUGCAAGCGUUAAUCGGAAUUACUGGGCGUAAAGCGUGCGCAGGCGGUUCGGAAAGAAAGAUGUGAAAUCCCAGAGCUUAACUUUGGAACUGCAUUUUUUAACUACCGGGCUAGAGUGUGUCAGAGGGAGGUGGAAUUCCGCGUGUAGCAGUGAAAUGCGUAGAUAUGCGGAGGAACACCGAUGGCGAAGGCAGCCUCCUGGGAUAACACUGACGCUCAUGCACGAAAGCGUGGGGAGCAAACAGGAUUAGAUACCCUGGUAGUCCACGCCCUAAAACGAUGUCAACUAGCUGUUGGGGGCCUUCGGGCCUUGGUAGCGCAGCUAACGCGUGAAGUUGACCGCCUGGGGAGUACGGUCGCAAGAUUAAAAACUCAAAUGAAAUUGAC